rnacentral:lncRNA from 1 species
UUUUUUUAUUUUACAACAGUAAUUAUAACUUAAAGAUUAUAUCUUUUCACGAGAUAAAAAGGUUUGGUAAUGUACUGUCACUGUUUCCUUCUGUUUUAAAAUUAAUCAUCAUUUUAAUUGGCUCAAAUUUCUAAGCAAUGCGUAGUAAACGCUCGAACUAUUCCACCAAUUGACUAGAUUUGUAGAUAGAUAAUUUCUUUUCAAAGGUCCGUCGUUAACACGGUGUCAAACACUACAGCUGUAACAAUAAAUGGCAUCGCCCUUAAUCCUUUGAUCCGAGCUUGUGCACCCAUUUUAAUUUGUCUUGUUUUAGGAAAAGCUUUGAAUUGGCAUAAUUUUCUUGCAAAUUGGGCCUUGCUAAAUGGGCCUUUAAUUUGGGUUAAAGCCUCGUUUAGAAUCUGAGUCAGCUUUCAUUUGCUAUUGCCGGAUGAGGCCAGGAAAUAGUUAGGUUUUUCCAGCGGGUUAUUUAAUGGAUUGGGUCCAUCGAUGGUUGUCAAUUUGUGGCCCCCAAAUCAGUAAAUUAUAAAUUCUAGUGUAGUUCAUAUAAGUUUUUUUAAUCUUUUAACGCCGUCUAUU